rnacentral:tRNA from 1 species
UUUAUUAUUAGCAAACAACUGCAAUAGAUUUAGAUUCUAUAUAAUCUCA